GUGCCUGUAGCUCAGUGGAUAGGGCGCCUAUUUCCUAAGAUGAAGGUCGCAGGUUCGAGCCCUACUUGGCGCG
rfam:Nicotiana attenuata strain TT chromosome 1, whole genome shotgun sequence.